rnacentral:rRNA from 1 species
UACGGAGGGGGCUAGCGUUGUCCGGAAUUAUUGGGCGUAAAGAGCUCGUAGGCGGCUUGUCGCGUCGGCUGUGAAAACCUGGGGCUCAACUCCGGGCCUGCAGCCGAUACGGGCAAGCUAGAAUUCGGUAGGGGAGACUGGAAUUCUCGGUGUAGCAGUGAAAUGCGUAGAUAUCGAGAGGAACACCAGUGGCGAAGGCGAGUCCCUGGACACUUCCUGACACUGAGGCACGAAAGCUAGGGGAGCAAACAGG